rnacentral:lncRNA from 1 species
UUAUAUAGUGUGUUUUUUUAAUAGACUACGAUCUCAUAGGUUUUUUCUUCUCACAUCAAAGAGAUUUCCCUAGUAAAAAGUCUUUGUCUCAUUUAGUUUCUGUUUAUACUAUAUUUUGCUAUUGUCAAAAUAUUUUUUUUCAUAGGUUCACAUACACAAAGUCAGGAGAACACAAUCGUUGUACUUUUGUUGCGCCAUGUCUCUUUCUCCCCAACACUCUGCUCUUACUUGAAUCUCAUCAAUUGGUUGAGACCCGGUUGUAUAUUCUUUAGUCACUUCAGUCCUUGGAGCCUUAGUUACGUCUGAUUCGUGAGACAAAAAAAACAAGAAAAGAAAUCGAAAAUGAUCUACUCCGGUUUAAAAUAGGCAUACUUUCUC